UACGACUACAUAUCAGGCAUAUCAAUAAGCGGAGGAAAAGAAACUAACAAGGAUUCCCUUAGUAACGGCGAGUGAAGCGGGAAGAGCUCAAAUUUGAAAUCUUCAAGGUUUUACCUUGACGAAUUGUAGUUUAAAGAAGUGUUUUCUGUUGAAGUUUCGGUAAAAGUUCUUUGGAAUAGGACAUCAUAGAGGGUGAGAAUCCCGUAUUUGACCGUUAUUUUCAGCUGUGUGAUACACUUUCAAAGAGUCGGAUUGUUUGGGAAUGCAGUCCAAAAUGGGUGGUAAAUUUCAUCUAAAGCUAAAUAUUGGCGGGAGACCGAUAGCGAACAAGUACCGUGAGGGAAGGAUGAAAAGAACUUUGAAAAGAGAGUUAAACAGUACGUGAAAUUGUCAAAAGGGAAGCGUUUGACACCAGUGUUGUUUUCUCGAAAAUCAAUUAAAGAUGGCUUGAUUUUGUGUUGUAUUGACCUUAAAAGCUUUCUUCACUCUUUUCAUGUCUUUUUUAAUGCACUUUUCGUUUAACAAGUCAACAUCAGUUUCUUUUGUUGUAAAAGGGUCAUUGGAAGGUGGCUUUCUCUUCGGAGAAAGUGUUUAUAGCCUUUGAUCUCUGCAAUCGGAGAGACUGAGGUCUGCAGCGUAGAUCCUUCGGGGUUAGAUACAUUUGUGCUAAGCUACAGCUUUUCAUAGACAACUUGUUGACUAUGUUUAGUCUUGUGACUUACCCGCUUAUGCUAUUUUACCUACGCUUAGGAUGUUGAGCGCAUGUCUCUCUCU
rnacentral:rRNA from 1 species